CAAGGAUUCAAGGGCAAGGAGAGACAUUUGCUGAAAAACAAAACAAGACCUUGAGACAUAAAAGAUCUGGAAUGGACACCUGUCAGCUGUGCCUGGUAGCACCACCUCCCCCAUCUUCUUUUAGUACAAUGCCUUAUCUCAUUUGGGCAAGGUAGAGCAAACCAUGUGUGGUAGC